rnacentral:snRNA from 1 species
UGAAAGCCUGACUGUGAAAUUUGUCACCUCAAGAGGGCCGUGGUGAUUUAGCUCAUCAGACUGGAUAGGCAGGUGUCUUCUUUCCCCUCUAGAAACACUCCAUGUUCCUCCCUCCUGAAGCUGCCCUUGGAGGACGACCUUCUUGAGAGAAGAGGUCAGUUCUGUAAUCAAGGAUACACAAGUAGCCUCACUCCCCUGCUAAAAAUUCUACAGUCUCCCGAGGCCUGUUUGUAGGAGAACUAGGGUAGCUUCGAGCACUCCAGAUAUGUCCAAAUGAGCCAUUGCAUGUGGCAGCCUGCUUUCCCUU